CUGACCUAGAAGCAAAACUGGACCACAGCACGUCACUGGAGCACGCGCACUUCUCCUUCACCCGUAAAAAUGCGUAGCUGUGUAUCUGCAGCACAUCGAGUUGGUAUGCAGUUUUCCAUAUCCAGUGAUCUAUGAAAAAUCCAGUACUUCCGAAGCUUCACAAUAAACACAACUCGAAUACCGGCCAGACAAAACCCUUAGGAAGACGCAGGAUGGCUCGAGGAAGCAGCGGCGGGGCGUGCGCGUCUCCUGCGUUUAUCGUCAUCUUGUUGGCAGCGGUCCAUAUCCACUGACUUCCUGGCCAGAAGAUGGGUAAAGCAAACUGUUCAUUUGUACACUCAACGUAGUGAAGCCAAGCGAAAAACAAGAUGACUGUGGGGAAUUCGAAGACCAGAAGCUCUCGCCAAGACUAGUAGUGAUGAAUCUCAGAGAUGGUGGGCGCAGCAACAGCAUGAUUCGGUGGAUGUUGUCCCCACAGUCCUACUCUUCCAUGCCUCUCCUCUCCCCUGACUGAUGGAUGGAAGAACGGUUAUCAUCAUCAGACCUGGAAUUACCUCAUGAAAGUUAUUUCACCAUAUAUGUAUAUCGUUUUCGUGAUUAAUGAUGCAUUUUGCAUUUUUUGCUGUUAAUAAGUGACAUAUUCCUUGAAUUUAUAGGAAAUAUGUUGACAGCUGGGAAGAAUAAUGAAUUGGUUAUUGAGUCUAA